GGCAAUUUUCAGCCCGAGAAAAGGGGGGAAAUCCUACAGCCGAAGAAGGGCUGCCCACGCAGGGGCAAAUUUAAGCCAAAAUCCCAAGAGGGGAGAAAGCCAAAAUCCCGAGGGGGGGGCAAUUUAAGCCAAAAAGUCCAAGCAGGGGCGGUUUAAUCUUUCAGCUUGAGAAGGGGGAAAGAGAGAGAGAAAAAACAAAAACAAAAAAACCCCACAGCCGAAGUAGGGCUGCCUGGGAAGGAGUGACUUAAGCCAAGAGCCCAAGGAGGGGUGGCUUUGAGUCAGAAAUAAACAGUCUAAGCCCAACCAACUCAAAGGGGGGGCUAUGGGUAGCAGAAAUAGCAAGUACACAAAAUCUGAACGGAUUUCAUGUACACCUUUGGAGUGUGUGUUGAAAAAUUGGGUGAUUAUCAUGGGAGCAAAGAGUGCUCUUAGAAAACAUGUUUUGAAAUGCCUUUGUAUGAAAGUUUGGCCACUAUGAACUCGAGUCAGAGGCCUCCUGACUCCGAAAAUAACAUCCUUUUGCACUUGCCUCUGUUUUAUAAGUGUUAAGGAAGGAAGAAUUAUUGUCUUUUGCAAAAAUCAUUUCUCUCUCUGUGUUCUGUUUCCAAGUUGCUUCCAGGCUUUGCCCUUGUGUUGCAAAAAAAAUAAAUAAAUAAAUCUUGCUGCUACUGUCCUGUUGUCACGAAGCCAAAAGAUAACUGUCCUAGCUGCAAAAGUUUCUCUGAACAAAAGGCUGCUUUUGUUCUCUUUUUCUUUUUUCUAUCUCUCUUCAACUACUUGAGUUGGAAAAGAGGAAAGAAAAUGGAGUUUUGAAGGAAUGCAUAUGGGAAUUGCAGACAAAAGAGAAAAAAAACAAACCUAGAAGGAAAUACGUAAAAGGAUUUUUGUUGGAGGUUGUUAACAACAACAAAAAGAAAAAUGCUUGAAAAGCACCAGUAAGUUAUAAGAUUGUGAUGUGGAAAGGUAAUAUAGAAUUACAGGUUGUUUUCAUAGAUAACUGUGAUAAGGUUGUUCUGUUUAAACUACUUUCUUAACUGAGUUUAUGGCUGACAUAUUUAAAAUGCUAUAAAAUUCUUUGGGAUUCAUAUGAAGUUUUCUUUGUUUAGUCCUUUGUUCUGUGAAAUACACAAGACGAGCCUGUGUGUGUGUGUGUGUGUGUGUGUGUGUGUGUGUGUGUGUGUGUGCGCGCGCGCGCAUGUUUCUGAGAGGGAGCCCAAAGCUCUGGUUCUGUAUAGGAAUUCAACCCACAUCAAUUUUAUAGCUCAUCUCUGUGAAGAUGAGGUUUCUGUUGUAUUUAUUCUGUUUAUUCUGUUGUAUUUGUGAAUGUAUUUAUACUAGUGACAUGUUUUGUUUGGUUUUUCCUUUCUGUAAACUGUUCCAGACCAAACUUGCUCUGACAUUGAAUUCCAAAAUUCACAAUUAUUAUAUUAAUUGAACAUAAAAUUGGUCAUGGCCUGAGCAACACAGGGAACUUUCAGCGGUCAGCUGGCCAACUGAGGGCUGAAUCUUCCCACCUCUGCAGAAGUGCUGCUUAUGGCUAAAUGCAUUAGGCAUGAGAGCAAGCUCUAAUUCAUUCAUUCUUAUAUCAAGUUAAUUGUGAUAUUUCUGCCACUACUGAGUAUCAUAAGCCUUUAUAUGUUAUGUUUACUGAAUUCCUUGACAAUGAUCUAUCUUAUCUUACCUAUUUCUGUGAACUCAAGAGGUUCCCUGAAAAGCAGUUUGUGUUCCAGCCAGAUUAAUUGUGGGUGAGAAGGAAAAAUGGAUUUUAAGAUAAAUGAGUCUAAUUGUAUUACUGUCAUGUUUUGCAAAAUCUAUGCAAUAUUUCUGCUAGUUGAAUUUGAUGUAAACUGAAAGCUACUAAUCAAAUGGUCUAAGGUUCAAAAAAUUUUUUAAUUUGACUCAUCCACCAGCCCUGCUUUGCCUUCACAGCAGCUGAAUCUUAAAAUCCCAGACAUGAGAUUUAAUGAAAGGAAUUUUGUUUUGCCAAUCCUGCAAGUGGCAAGGAGUUCCAAAGCACCAGUUUGCAAUUCACCUUGGAAAUUUCCCAGCUAAAAGGGAUUAGUCUGGGGCAGUAGAUGGCUGACUCCCUCACACAUGACCGAAUAUCAUGUGACUUUGGUGAGGAUCCUGGGGUUUCCAUGGCUACUACUUUGUUCUUAAUCCAGCUAACUUACUUCCUUUUGAGUCUACAGAAGACCAAGAACAUGAUUGCUUGCAAGAUGUGGACUGCAUCUAUGCCAAGCCAUCCUGAUCUUAAAGAUGAACUGUACACAGAUGGAGGCAGCUUCAUGUAAGAUGGACAACGUAAGCUGGCUAUGGAGAAGUGACUGACCAUGCUCUUUCUCCAGGUAUCUCAGUCAGCACAGCUUGCAGAGCUCAUCACCUUCAAGGUAAUUUUUACACAACUCAUGGGGCCACUUGGAAAGAAAGAAGAUUUUAACAGUGGGAAACAAGGAAGUAAAAUAUGGGACACAGAUAUCAGAACUCUAGACUGCUGUUACACUACUAGAAGAGGUUGCAGUCAUCCAUAGCAGAGGUCACCAGAGGAAAAUGACCCAGUGACAAAGGGUAAUUGGAUGGCAGAUGCUGCAGUUAAAACUGCUGCUCCUUCUAUUCCUGUUUCCAAGCAUCUUUGAUUCCUGUGCUAACUAUCUUGGCACAACCCCCCCACAUAUAAAAAAAAAAAGGACAUCGACUUUGCACCACAUCAGGGGGGCGCAUUUAGAAGAGGAUGGCUGGUAAAGAACAGCAGAUGGAUGUGGAAUUAUUGCAGAACCAAUCCUUUGGGUUUUUUUCCUAGUCAAUACAAAGACACUUUUGUGCCUCUUGGAUGUACCCUUUUGCAGAACAUGUGGCAACAGCCUGUGUAAUUUGUGUAGUAAACAAUCCUACUUUACCAAGAAAUGUCAAACCCAAACUUGAAUCCAUCAGUGACUGGUUAAUUAUGAGGCUAAAGAUGGAGAACUGGGACACCACAACUAUCUACACAUUACUGACGAUGAAGUCAGUUAUACUGGAUGGAGAUUGAUUGCCCUGACAAAGGACUGUAAGUAUGAUUGUCAGCCAACGUAGUGCAGUGGUUAGAGUGCUAGAUUAAGACCGGGAAAACCCGAGUCCAAAUCCUCAUUCAGCCAAGACACUUGCUGGGCAACACAGAGCCUACAACUCAAAUGAUUUGGCCUGCCUCACAGGGUUGUUGUAAAGAGGAAGAACAGGAUGCAGAAGAGAAUGUGAGAUGCCACAUGAAAACUGGACUUUGUUAGCAGUGACUGAUUGACCUGAAAGGCUUUAAUGCCUCCUCAAAACCCCAAACUCACAAGGGGGGGUGAAAAAUGUGAAUGCCUUUUUCUUUUUGACUUUAUUGCUUUGCUAUUGCCCAGGAUUGCUGUUUUGUUCUCGUGAUCAAAAACCAGCCUACAACACAAGCCAGCCAGCCUCCAAGAAGCACCGGCCCCCACACACAGCCUCCCGCCUGGCCACCAAGCCUCAAAUGAAGACAUCAUCCCCUGUCCUGGUCUUCAGGGAAAGGGGGGGCCCAGGGCAAGCAGGAAAACAAAAAUAUAAAUUGGAAAAAGAAAAAAAAAUGCCAAAAGACCAAAUUGAAAAUAGCCUCAGGUUUUAUCCAUCCUUUGUAUUAUUUGCCUUGAAAACUUGACUUUUCCUUUUGUGCUAACGGUUGGCACCCAGAGACUUAGUCUCAGGAUGCUGUCCCUACAUGGGGGGGGUAGGGAAUUGGCAACUCACUUGCCUGUCUUUCUCUCAAGUAAACAGGUUUGCAACCAACAGUGCCUUGAAUUGUCUUUCCAAGAAGGAUUGGUCCUUCCCAGAUCGAAGGAAUACCUGGAUCCAUCGCCAGAAUGUGAUCCCAAGGGAGUCUCCAUCAACAGUGACCCAAGAAAACUAACCAUCAGCAGCAGCAGCUACCCGGGGGCAGUCCCUAUCUGCAUUUCCAGUCCAACCCAAUGGUGACAGAACGUCUAUCAACUACCCUGUCCUGUGUUCGAGGAAGAAGGCCUAAUGCACAGUUCAUCUUCCUGCUUCCAAGUGUUAUAGGAGAAGGAUAGACAACAAACGCCUGAAGACUGCCUGAUAACAAACAAGCAAGCCAAUUUGUUCACUUUUCUCUGGAGUCAUACACGUAACAGCAUUUCCCCAAGCUGUAAAGCCCUGGAACCAUCCUACCUGGGUAAGAUACCUUGCCAAAGACACUAUUUCUAAUUCUGCCAAAGACACUAUUUCAGAUUGCCCACAAGGGGAGGGAGUCAAGGCUCCCAAACACAUGAACAUUCGAGCUUGUCUGUGGACAUUAGCCAAACAAGCCGGAGCAACACGGAUCAGGAUAGCCAAAAUCCUGCAACGUUUUACAAGAGCAUUUGGUUCUCAACUGAAGGACUAACAUAUAUUUUUCCUUACCAAGGACUUUUAGAUUUUGAAUUCUAAAGCUCUCCAUGGCUUCCUUUUUGGCCAUGACAGACUUUAGAGGACACUAAGGGGGGUGGGAGUUGAUGAUUUGCACCACUUUCUUAUAUUACUUUCUUGUAGUGACUAUGUGCUAUCAUUAUGUUGAAAACCUUGCUAUCUCCUGUGCUGUAAGGUCAUGGACCUCACAUGCUUGCUCUCCAGUCAUUUCCUUAUUGUUUCACUUAUAUAUUGUGCCAAUCAUCUCAUUGUUUCAACCAGAGCAUUUACCUGCAAGUCUGCACCUAUCCCCAAGUUACUGAUCCCUUUAUGCUCUAAGACAUUAAGCUGGCCCAAGCCUUACCUACAAUUUUAUAGACACUUGUAUUAAUCAGUGUGAUUAUACAUGACUUGUCAUUGCUAUCGCUUUCCACAAGCUGAUAACCCAUUAAUCACCAGAAGCAUCUGGUUCCACAAUGCAAGACUGUUAUUUAUACUUUAUUUGGGAUAAAGAUGGGUUAAAAUCAUGUUGCUUGCUAUAAGUUGUAUGAUCUUUAUAUGUACACUUUGCUGUUAUGUGUAAAUUUUUAUAUAUAUAUCAAAUCAUGCCAGAUAUGGGUGGUUAAGGAUAUGUGUGCGUGAUGUAUAGAAUUAUAUAAUUAUGUUUGUAGCUCUAGAAUAUUGUAUGCAAUGUGCCUGCCAUAGCACAUACCAUUUCUGUAAAAACUAUGCUUAAUGCAUCACAAAUGUUUAAGGCAUCCCAAAACCACAUAUGUUCCAAACCCUUUAGCCACACGAAACACAAAGUUCCAUCAAUGGGCAAGAACUAUAUUCCAAGAUUAAGAGUUUGUGUGUUAGAAAGAGCUACUGUUAAUAUUUUCAAACAGUUAGAACUUUCAUUAACUAAUAUGGAGAGCCUAUUGAUUUAUGGGCAAAGAAGAUAAUUCUGGUUGUAUUUUCUUUGUAUUAAUAAUCACAUGUUGCUGCUUACAAUGCAUUACAGCUUUAAACCAAAUGUUUAUGAGAACCUUUAAACCUUGCCAUAGUAUAAGACCCAUACAUACAGCUGUACCUUUACAAACUUUAAUUAAGACAUCCUGAAGAUUCAGGAUGAUCCAAUUGUUUCAGGGGGGAAUUGAUGUGUUUGAGUAAACCAAAGUAACUCCAUUUUACAUAGAAUACCAUGUUUGAGUAAACCAAAGUAACUCCAUUUUACAUAGAAUACCAAAGCAUCUCCAAGUUUGCUUAGAAAACCUAAUUCUAACUUAAAGUAACCCCAGCCCAGCUCAGGCCAGCUCAAGGACACGGCCUCACAUGAUUAUCUCUCUCCACUAAAUUGUAUCUAAAGAAACUUGGUUCUCACCGUUCUUUGCUGAGAAGUUAAUAAAACAGGAUGUAACCAAAUAAGGAGUGAUCACCAGAUGAACAAUGAAUCAUUUGCAUGCAUACUAGAUACUUAGUCCACCAUUUUACUGCCACGUAUACUAUGUCAGCAUCAUUCAGAUUGUCUGUAUAAAUGUAAGAUGCACCUAUAACCAAUUUGUAUUCAAUGUGGAGCGUGAGCCCCAUUGUCUACCUGCUUCUGCAGAGCAUUAAACCAAGCCUCUAAUUGA